CUGCCAGGGGACGCGGCGCCGCGGGCCAGCCGCCCGGCGGGGCAGAGGCCGCCGCCCCCCGCCUCCCCCCGGCAGCCUCGGGGGCUGAGAGCAGACCUCUCCGCGUGCAGGCGGCAAGACGACAGGCGCCCGGCGGCAGCGACAAGCCACGGCAGCGGGCGCCAUUUGCCGGCACCUGGCGGUUGGGGCGCGGCUCCGCCCCACCCGGCGCGGCGCGAGCGCUGAGGCGGCGGCAGCGGCAGCGGCGCGACCGUUACCUCGGCGCGGGCUUGGGCUCCCCCGCCGGGGGCGGCGGGAAGCGCCGCGGAGCGCCCUGCGGAAAAGGGCUCUGGGUCUCGCGGAAAAGGCUUUUGUUACAUUUAUCUCAUACACGUGCAGAUCUGUGAGGGGGAAAAAAAAACAUUGCUGAAGACUUGAAGGACACUGCUGAAACAUGCUACUUCAGAAAAAUCUUGAGGCAAUUUGGAAUUCUGGCUCUGUGGAAUUGAAACCAAGCAGAAAAAGCACUGAUUAAACAAAUACCAUAUAGAGGAACCACCCGACAGAUACAACAUUACGUUUCAUUUGUGGAAGAGUCUGCAUAUUUCCAAUCCAAUCAUUCUGAAACAUACAUCUGGUCUGCAAUGACAGGCAGGCUUAUGCUUAUAAUUGGGAUCUGCUACAUUGGGUGCCAUACAAAUUCUUCACAUACAGCAAUUUCUGUAUGUGUUAUCACUAACAGUUUAUUCAACUGAUAGGAAAAAAAUCUCAUUUCUGGAACAGAAAAAAGAAUGUGUGUUCUGGAUUACAUUAACAGCAAUAAGCUAUCAAUUUACAGCUAUUUCACUUAUUUAUGGAGAAAACAAAAUCUAUGAAAUUCCUGAGAACAUGUAAGUUUUCAGUAAUGCCUGAAAUAUUUCAAUAGACUUCUCGUGAUACGUAAAAUUUUCUUUAAAGUUCAACUUUCAGACCAAACAUUGCCAUGCAGUCUCAAAUCAUUUUACAAUUCCUAUAUAAUUACAAAUGCAUAUCAAGCAAAAAUCGCAAACCAACACACAAAAAAGGCAAAGAAUAUUUAUCCAAUAUAUUUAGUAGAUGAAGUACACAUAUACAGUGUUUCAGCAAAAAUUGCUAAAAACUCAACCCCACGCAGAGAAAAAUAAAAAUGUGACAGCUAUCCCUGGAGCCUCUAAACAACGUUCAGAAACUGCACCUGGCUGAGCAGCACAGACUGGGCUGCUUGCGAAGCCAGCUGCUCCGCAGUAAGACCUCACCCUGAGAGCGCUUCACAGGAAGAGUCUCCUUCCCCUGAGGAGGUCGACAUGGGCGCACUGCAUCUUUUGUAAAGGAUGCUAAAUGAAUACUAGCCUUUUCACAAGAUGUUUUCUAAAUGUGAUACCGAAUGUAAACGCCUUCGUAGCUAAAACAAGGGGAUCAAGAGCGAUCUAAAGUGAAGCCUCCCAUUCACUAUGCCCCAUCAAAAGUUAAUCUCAGCAACACACUGUAGCCAACUCCCAGCACUGACUAUGAAAUCUGUCUCUGGACUUUGGACUAAAACUUUCAAGAACAGAGGAAAGUUAGGCUCUGUAAGUGACAUUUGGAGAUGUCUGCCUCAUUUUCAGAAUUGUGUUUUCUUUGAGGUCAUGAGGAACUGAUCACUACUCACAAUUUUUUUGAGGACACCAAAGUGUUCUGUUUCAAUCUACUUACUUUUACUGGAUUUAAAAUCAGUCUGCACAGGAGUCAAAUGAAAUCUUUCUCACCAUGUAUAAAAUGUUAAUUUUUUUUUUUAAAGAACGUAAGGUUUAAAAACCUAACUUAGAAAACAAAAUAAAGCCACAAUUGUGCUGUUUUCCUUUUCAAUUAUGCUAUUUUGCCUGUUCCUUUUCAAUCAUGAAAACAACAUAACCAGUUUCACUGAAAUCUGUCUUCUCAAAUGCCUAUGCAGUUGCCUGUCAGCAACAGUAUUUUGAGAUUAACCUAAGUAUUCAAAUUUUCACUUGCAAUAGCCCAAUAUAUGCCUGCACAACACACAAAGGCAGAUGCAGAGAUGCAUCUGAUCUGCCUUUUUGACUCAAUAAACUUAGGGGAUAGGUGCACUUCAAUUAUUUGUUAUAAUUGAAAUAUUAAACAGCUUUUAUCCUAUUGAUCUUACUUAGUAUAGCAACUGAAAAUACUCAAAAUAUCAGUAACAUCUAAUAAAAAGGGCAAACUUACACGAAAUAUUUUCUUGAAAGAUGAGGUUUUUUUUGUGUGCCCUUAGCAGGCUUUAGGUGCAGAAGAUAUGGAUAUACUCACUACUGUGUAAAGGUAGCAUUUUGAUUUUCUCUCCCCAGCCACCAUAUUGAAAACAAUUAAGUUUUCUUGUUCCUAUUUUAACCAGUCCCAUCCACAUCCACUAAUAUUUCUGAUUGUUUCUAAUUUACAAGUCAGGUUUUCAGAUUGUAAUGUAAAACAAUAGUGUAUGUACACAGUGAAACAAGGUGUAAAUAGGUGCUUCCACAUCAGUGCUAUUUGGAGGGAAUAGUUUGGUUACGUACCUUUACUUGAUCUGGAUGUCUGUCUGCAAAGGAAGCCAAUUCUGAGCACCACUGUGAUAUCAUGUCAAAUGCUGGCACUGGCCAAUCGAGGCAAGAGGCACUAGUGAACUGAUCGGAUGACUGAAAAGAUGGUAAGAGACCCAGGCAGCUUGCAAGAACUGUGAAUUCCUCAUCUUCCUUUUAGAUAUGAAACCAGAGAGUUUCAGAUUAGUACCUAUGCUUGGAAUUCUUAAUAUCUUUUAUUUUAAAAUGUGUCUAUUCUGAUAACAACAACACAGAUAGCCUAACAAAAUGAUGUUAAAGUAUGUUCACAGACAAAGAAAAGCUUCUGUUUUUCCAAAGCAUAGCAAGUUGGAUCCUCAAAACAGCAGAAAACUGGAGAGAAAAACAAACAAAAUAAAAAUAAAAAUCCUGCUUAGCUUCCUGCUGAGUCUCCCAAACUGGCUCAUAGCUAUACUAUCGAAGAGCCAAUUUUGAUGCAAGCUGGUCGGUGAGCUGGGCUGCAGCUGCAUGAGCUUAAAGCAGCUGAAAACACCAUGGAACUUGAUGUAAUUUUCUGCUGAUACAAUAUCUCUGAGAGUAAAGCCCAUAUGUUAAUGGAAAUUAAGCAAACUCAAGACUGAAGUCCAGUCUGUGUGGGAAUUAUAUCAUCUCCACAAAUGCAGGACAAGUUUUAAAACUAUGUUGACAUUUUAUGAGACAAGCAGACAACUAGCAGUGACCUGAUAAAGCAAGCAUGUAUUUGCUGUGUUUUAAGAAUGUCUUAUCAUUUUUUCAGGGCAGUUGCCCUGAAAAUAAAUGUAUAGAAGAGAAACAAUGCUGCAAUAUACAACUAAGAAAAACCUUAUGAGAGAAAAUAUGUACCAUGGUGGUGGUGGGGGGGGGACCUUACAUUUU